GGCAGCGUCAAUUAGUUCCAUAUGACUUUUAACUCAUCAUUUUGGUCACAGCUUUUCGUGCAUGAACAUCAUAAAUAUGAAUGCUAAUCAGAGAGCAAACAACCAGACUGCCGUCUGUGAGGAUUUAGCACAGACUCGUACGGAAACCCACGUGUUAUUGUUUUCCCUCAACGAGAAAACUGACUACAAACUAAUGGAGUGCGAAGAGCUGUAUGAAAAACUAUUUAGAAUGCAAGAAAUCGAGAGUUUUGAAGUCGAGGACUUAUUACGUGUCCAAAAUCAGAUUUGCUUCAUGAUGUCCCUUGUCUGUAAACUCGUGGUGAGGCAAAUUAAGGCUGUGAAAAAACUAAUUUCCAGGGCCAAACGUUCUCGUUCUAUCUUCUGCAGUCCGCAAUGAAAUGUAAAUAUUUUAAAAGCAAAUCGCACAAGUAAUAAAGCAGAACAAAGAUGCAAAGCCAAAUCAAAUUCACAAUUACAAGCGAACCAGAACCUCGGCUAGUUUCAAGGAUGAAGGAUGAAAGGAGCGACUCCAAAAUUAUAAUUUCUAUAUUCUGUAUUUUGUAAAGUAAAAUUGUAUGUACUUGUAAAAAAUCAAA